UCUCAGAGGUGUUCGGGGAUGAAAUCUGCGGCUGGUGGGAGGACACGGACACCAGGACCCACUUGCUCGCCCUUCCUGUCGACCUCACGUGGGACGAUGUUCCUUAGACUCCGCAGCCUGAGUGUUGGAGAGGUGGACACACACGGUAAAGUCAGAUGGACUCCAAGGGUACCUGUCUCAGCCCAUUCAGCAAAGUCACUCUGGUUCUAUAGUCGCCUCCGUCACGAAUCAUUAAACUGUCGAUCUCUCAUCUGCUGCUGCUUCCCAAACAUGUUUGGGGGUUUCCCCUACAAUCAUCGGAGAAUUGUAUCGAUUCAUUUUAAAAUGUUAUUAUGUCUUUGUGUGUUUGUUUGUUUUGUUUUUUUACAUGAUAACCUCA